rnacentral:rRNA from 1 species
GGGCUGUUGCUGGUCCUCGAAUGGGGACAUGUGCACGCUCUGUUUACACAUCCACUCACACCUGUGCACCCUCUGUAGUUUUACGGUCUGGGGGACCCUGUCUUCCUUCUGUAGUUCUACGUCUUUACACACACACUGUAAUAAAGUCUUAUGGAAUGUAUGCCGCGUCUAACGCAAAACAAUACAACUUUCAGCAACGGAUCUCUUGGCUCUCGCAUCGAUGAAGAACGCAGCGAAAUGCGAUAAGUAAUGUGAAUUGCAGAAUUCAGUGAAUCAUCGAAUCUUUGAACGCACCUUGCGCCCCUUGGAUAUUCCGAGGGGCAUGCCUGUUUGAGUAUCAUGAACACCUCAACUCUCAUGGUUUGCCAUGACGAGCUUGGAACUUGGGGGUUUUGCUGGCCUGUGGUCGGCUCCUCUCAAAUGAAUCAGCCUCCCAGUGUUUGGUGGCAUCACGGGUGUGAUAACUAUCUACGCUCGCGGUUGUCCACCAGGUAACCUUUGGUGACAAAGGUUCGCUGGAGCUCACAGAUGUCUCUCCUCAGCGAGGACAGCUUUUUAACGUUCGAUCUCAAAUCAGGUAGGACUACCCGCUGAACUUAAGCAUAUCAAUAA